GCAUGUAAGUGUGACUUGGUUUCCAAUUGCCAAAGUGUGACAAGUUGUCUCAUAAACCUAUCACACUUCCAUGAAGAAGACAGCAGAAUUACAAAAACCAUGGGAAUCCCAUUCCUUCUCCUGUUAUGAUUAUCAAGGGAGGAGCAACCAAAGUGGAGCAAAGGUCUUACAGGUGGAAGCCCUGUUCUCCUCCUCUUCAGGAAGAGCCCAGGAAGAGAUGCCAGAGAGAAGGGCAGGGUGGCAUCUUCUCUGAGAGCAUCUGCCAGUCCUUCCACACAGCAUGAGACUGGGUGUAAGAGACACUGCACUACUCUAACAAAAGAAUCCGGACGGUGGGAAAUCUGUGGAAUCUCUUCCUACACUGAAGAUGUUCUAAGAGAUGCUGGAAUUGAAGCCAAGAUCCAGCAAUGAAAAUGUAAACCUGGAGAGUGGCAACUUGAAGCCAUGGCUGAUACUUCUACCCAGAACCAAGCCGAUGUGCCUGCAAGAUUUGGGAAAUGAAACCCCUCAAAGAGGGGGGUUUGUUCAGACUGUACAUGAAAUAAGAGCAGAAAGAGGCAGCACAUGUCACUGGAUUCACAGCCCCUUGUCACUUGCCGAUGACAGGCCGCUGUCCUCUGGGAGCUUCCCCUGCCUGCUGGCUGGUGCUGGGCUCUGCUUGGCAGACUGGUGAGAUCCAUGUUUCUGGAGACUUAAGAUGCCAGGACCCAUCCUGCUCUGAAGCCUGGAUGGCCAGCUGAAGAUCUGACAGCCUCACCUGAAGGGAAAACAUCUCUAUGGCUGGGUCCCUCUCUCCUCUGGGUAUCAAAAAGUAGAUGGAGGAUCCACCGCAGGGAGUGUCUGAAACUCUUCUGGGACCACUUGGCGCCCCUCAAAUUAUGGGCCAAGCUAAAGAAAUGAAAACCAGAUGUGGCCCCAAAUGUGACAGUACUUGCUCGUAAUUAUAAUGAUCUUUAUGGACUCUUUAUUGAGCCUCAAAUUGAAGUUUAGUGAACAAUUGCCAAAAGAUGUGGGGUUUCCCACGGUAGAUGUCACAAGGAAGACAGCAUUCGAGCUGAGUCCC
rnacentral:lncRNA from 1 species